rnacentral:tRNA from 1 species
GCGCAAGUGACGGAACUGGCAUACGUACUGGUCUUAGAAACCAGGUUUUAGGGGUUCGACUCCCCUCUUGCGCACCA